AUGUAAAAUACAAUUCACUUUUUUUUUUUUUUUUUUUUUUGGUUUUUCAAGACAGGGUUUCUCUGUGUAGUCCUGGCUGUCCUGGAACUCACUCUGUAGACCAGGCUGGCCUCAAACUCAGAAAUCCACCUGCCCCUGCCUCCCGAGUGCUGGGAUUAAAGGUGUGCACUGCCACUGCCCGGCUACUAUUCACUUUUAACAGUCCCCCAAGUCUUUAAAACUCCAAUGUCUUUGAAAAGUUCAAAGUCGCUUAACUUUGUUACAUAAUUGCUAUUCCAAGAGUGAAUAACCAAGAAGAGUUAAAAUCAGAUCAAAGGAAAAGCAGACUGCAACAGUGUAUAAAGUUCAGCAUCCAAUGUCUGAACUCGCUCAGUAUCUUCUGGGAUCCAAAGGACUUGUGAAGUCCUAGUUCUCUGGCUCUUCCCUCCACCACAAACCCAACUUGUCUCCAAGGCCCAGGCUGCUGUGCUGUUCUUGGUCAUCAUUCCACAGUCCUGGCAUCUCCAAUAUGCUGGGAUCCCCAUUACAAGUGAGGCAGCACCUUCACUAGUAGCUUUUUGGAGGAUGAGGGACUCACAAUGCCAACCUUCAGCUGCUCUCCAGGACUCCUUUAAUGCUGCAGUUUCUGGACCAGCAAAACAAGCACUUCUUACCCAUCACCAAACUGAGCAGCCAGUUUGAGUGAGAUGCAGUCUCGGCACACCCCCAGCCCAUGGACCACAGCCUCUUUGUACUAACCUUGAGGAAAUACUUUGCAGAACAUUUCGUCUCGAUGAUGCUGGUCUUUUGUUAGCCUCAGCUGGUGUUUUCAGCCUAUCCUAGUUAGGAGUGUUAUAGCUGUGAUCAAAUACAGGUGAUUAAGCUCUGAAUGCUAAACAGCUUUUCUAGCCCCAAAUACUAAAUGCUUCUAAAAAUCCUUCCAAAAACAACAUGGUAGGCCUGUCAUAGCAAUACCCCACUCCUAGUACCAAUUUCUGUCUUAGUUUCUCUCAAUUGCUGUGAUAAAAUACUGUCAUAAGAGUUUCUAUGGUGAUAAAACACCAUAGCCAAACCAAUUGAGGGAGGGAAGGUUUUAUUUCAGCUCACACUGCCAGGACCAUUGGUGAGGGAAGUGUGGGGAGGAACUCACACCGGGAAGGAACCUGGAGGCAAGAACAUAUUCAAAAGCCAUGAAUGAAUACUGCUUACUGGCUUGUUCUUCACGACUUGCUUGGCUCAGUUUGGUUUUUUGGUUUUUGCUCUUUGGUUUUUUGUUGUUGUUGUUUGUUUGUUUGUUUUUUGUUUUUUAAAUUCAACCCAAGACCACCACAGUAGGUUGGGCUUUCCCAUAUCAAUUAACCAAAAAAAAAUGCCCUGAUAGACUUGACUAUAGUCCAAUCUCAUGGAAGCAUUUUCUCAAUUGAGGUUGCCUCUUCCUAAAUGGCCUUAGCUUGUGACAAGUUG
rnacentral:lncRNA from 1 species